GAAGUAGUGUUUGGUUUGUAGGCAGUGUAGUUAGCUGAUUGUAUCCAUCUCUUUGCAAUCACUAACUUUACUGCCAUCAAAACAAGACACAGAAUUCC
ensembl:miRNA